GGGGAUUUAGCUCAGCGGCAUAAGCGCCUGCCUUGCAAGCAGGCAGUCCGGAGUUUGAUCCCCG
rnacentral:tRNA from 1 species